GAGAAGCGUAAAACAUACGUACGCCUCUCCCAUUACUCUCGCGCCUAAGUUGGAAAUUCAUGGCAGUUGGAGGAACGAGGCGAGAUCUUUGCAAACAUUCGGCUUUUAGGUUGGAGAUGUAUGCCGCGGCUGUAUUAAAUUUAUAACCACGUGUACGAAAUAGCACACGUCUGAACUCACAUUAACAGCAAAA